rnacentral:rRNA from 1 species
GAGAUUUUCGCAAUGCCCGAAAGGGUGACGAAGCGACGCCGCGUGCGGGAAGAAGGCCUUCGGGUUGUAAACCGCUGUCGGGAGUUAAGAAAUGUAAGGAUGUUAAUAGCAUCUUUGCUUGACUAAGGCUCCGGAGGAAGCCACGGCUAACUCUGUGCCAGCAGCCGCGGUAAUACAGAGGCGGCAAGCGUUGUUCGGAAUUAUUGGGCGUAAAGAGCACGUAGGCGGCUAUGUAAGUCGGUUGUGAAAGCCUUCCGCUCAACGGGAGAACAGCAUCCGAUACUGCAUGGCUUGAGUGCGGGAGGGGAGAGUGGAACUUCUGGUGGAGCGGUGAAAUGCGUAGAUAUCAGAAGGAACGCCGGCGGCGAAAGCGGCUCUCUGGCCCAUAACUGACGCUGAGUGUGCGAAAGCUAGGGGAGCAAACGGGAUUAGAUACCCCGGUAGUCCUAGCCGUAAACGAUGGGCACUAAGUAGAGGGGUUUUA